CGCCUGACAGCUAGCUCACCCCAACAAAACCAACACAACUAUAUUAAUAACCCCCCAUACACUGCAUCUCAAAAAUAAACCAUUCUCCCCUCCAAGUACGGGCGACGGAAAAGAAAACAGAAGCAAUAGAGAAAGUACCGCAAGGGAAAGCUGAAAGAGAAAUGAAACAACCCAACAAAGCCUAAAAAAGCAGAGAUACAGCCUCGUACCUUUUGCAUCAUGAUUUAGCCAGAACCUCUUAAGCAAAAAGAAUUUUAGUUUAAUACCCCGAAACUAGGUGAGCUACUCCAAGACAGCCUGAUCAUAGGGCACACCCGUCUCUGUAGCAAAAGAGUGGGAAGAGCUUCGAGUAGCGGUGACAGACCUACCGAACCUAGCAAUAGCUGGUUGCCUGGAAAAUGAAUAGAAGUUCAGCCUCUCAAAUUCUUCCCUCAAAAACCGCAUUACAUUAAUCCAACCCUGAGACCAAAAGAAGUUAAGAGAGUUAGUCAAAGGGGGAACAGCUCCUUUGAAACAAGACACAACUUUCUCAGCAGGAUAAAGAUCAUAGUCCCCAUGAAGGUAGAAUGUCCCAGUGGGCCUAAAAGCAGCCACCAUAAUAGAAAGCGUCAAAGCUCGAACAUAACCUAUCUCCCAAAAAUACUGAUAACAUAUCUUAAACCCCUAAACCUACCAGGCUGUCCCAUGCCCCCAUGGGAGCAAUAAUGCUAAUAUGAGUAAUAAGAGAACACCUGAUUCUCUCCCUGCAUACGUGUAAGUCGGAACGGACAUCCCCACCGAACAUUAACGGCCCCAAACGAAGAGGGUACUGUGUUAAAAAUAAGAAACAAGAAAACCACCCACAACACCACCGUUAACCCUACACAGGCAUGCCCCUAAGGAAAGACUAAAAGAAAAAGAAGGAACUCGGCAAACACUAUGCCUCGCCUGUUUACCAAAAACAUCGCCUCUUGCAACAACAGUAUAAGAGGUCCUGCCUGCCCAGUGACCAUGUGUUCAACGGCCACGGUAUUUUAACCGAGCGAAGGUAGCGUAAUCAUUUGUCUUUUAAAUGUAGACCUGUAUGAAUGGCGUGACGAGGGCUUAACUGUCUCCUUUUUCCAGUCAAUGAAAUUGAUCUCCCCGUGCAGAAGCGGAGAUAACCCCAUAAGACGAGAAGACCCUGUGGAGCUUUAGACAUUAAGACAGACAAUAGUAUAUCCUUAUAAAGAACCAAACCUAAUGAUUCCUGCCGUUAUGUCUUUGGUUGGGGCGACCUCGGAGAACCACAAAACCCCCGCGUGGAAUGGGAGCUAUUUACCCCUUGCCAACCGAAACCAAGAGUUACCACUCUAAUUAACAGUACUUCUGACCAAUGAGGAUCCGGCUCACGCCGAUCAACGGACCAAGUUACCCCAGGGAUAACAGCGCAAUCCUCUUCUAGAGUCCCUAUCGACAAGAGGGUUUACGACCUCGAUGUUGGAUCAGGGCAUCCUAAUGGCGCAGCCGCUAUUAAGGGUUCGUUUGUUCAACGAUUAAAGCCCUACGUGAUCUGAGUUCAGACCGGAGCAAUCCAGGUCAGUUUCUAUCUAUGCCAUGGAUUUUUUCUAGUACGAAAGGACCGAAAAGAAGAAGCCAAUGCUCUAAGCACGCCUCACCCUUACCUAAUGAAAUCAACUAAAAUAGACAAAAGGGCAUACCCCUAUGCUUAAGAGAACAGCAU
rnacentral:rRNA from 1 species